UUGGAGGGCAAGUCUGGUGCCAGCAGCCGCGGUAAUUCCAGCUCCAAUAGCGUAUAUCAAAGUUGUUGCAGUUAAAAAGCUCGUAGUUGAAUUUCGGGAUCAAUAUAUCGGUCGUGCCAUCGGUACGUACUGGUAUGAUUGGUUUCUCCUUUCUGACGAACCAUGAUGUCAUUAAUUUGGUGUUAUGGGAAGUUAGGACUGUUACUUUGAAAAAAUUAGAGUGUUUAAAGCAGGCUUUAGCUUGAAUACAUUAGCAUGGAAUAAUGAAAUAGGACGUUCGAACCUAUUUUGUUGGUUUCUAGGAUCAACGUAAUGAUUAAUAGGGAUAGUUGGGGGCAUUAGUAUUCAAUUGUCAGAGGUGAAAUUCUUGGAUUUAUUGAAGACUAACUACUGCGAAAGCAUUUGCCAAGGAUGUUUUCAUUAAUCAAGAACGAAAGUUAGGGGAUCGAAGACGAUCAGAUACCGUCGUAGUCUUAACCAUAAACUAUGCCGACCAGGGAUCGGAUGAUGUUAAUUUUUUAAUGACUCAUUCGGCGCCUUACGGGAAAC
rnacentral:rRNA from 1 species